GACGAACGCUGGCGGCGUGCUUAACACAUGCAAGUCGAACGGAAAGGCCCUGCUUUUGUGGGGUGCUCGAGUGGCGAACGGGUGAGUAACACGUGAGUAACCUGCCCUUGACUUUGGGAUAACUUCAAGAAACUGGGGCUAAUACCGGAUAGGAGCUCCUGCUGCAUGGUGGGGGUUGGAAAGUUUCGGCGGUUGGGGAUGGACUCGCGGCUUAUCAGCUUGUUGGUGGGGUAGUGGCUUACCAAGGCUUUGACGGGUAGCCGGCCUGAGAGGGUGACCGGCCACAUUGGGACUGAGAUACGGCCCAGACUCCUAUGGGAGGCAGCAGUGGGGAAUAUUGCACAAUGGGCGGAAGCCUGAUGCAGCAACGCCGCGUGCGGGAUGACGGCCUUCGGGUUGUAAACCGCUUUCGCCUGUGACGAAGCGUGAGUGACGGUAAUGGGUAAAGAAGCACCGGCUAACUACGUG
rnacentral:rRNA from 1 species